rnacentral:tRNA from 1 species
GGGCGGGUAGCUCAGCCGGGAGAGCGCCACGCUUACACCGUGGAAGUCACAGGUUCGAUCCCUGUCCCGCCUACCA